UACGUAGGUCCCGAGCGUUGUCCGGAUUUAUUGGGCGUAAGGCGAGCGCAGGUGGUUUAUUAAGUCUGGUGUAAAAGGCAGUGGCUCAACCAUUGUAUGCAUUGGAAACUGGUAGACUUGAGUGCAGGAGAGGAGAGUGGAAUUCCAUGUGUAGCGGUGAAAUGCGUAGAUAUAUGGAGGAACACCGGUGGCGAAAGCGGCUCUCUGACCUGUAACUGACACUGAGGCUCGAAAGCGUGGGGAGCAAACAGG
rnacentral:rRNA from 1 species